rnacentral:lncRNA from 10 species
UUCUGAAGCUGCUCAGCAUGUGGCAGAGGAGCAUGCUGUGAAGAGCUCAUUCCAACAGCAGCGUGAUGAGUAACACUAUCAACAUAAAUAAGUAAUAGCAGUGAUUAAGUCUGUAUGGGAAGGUUGAGGGAGGUGGCAUUUGAAUCCACAUUUAAAGGAUGAAUGGAAGUUUGUUGAGAGGACAGGAUGCAGAAGCAUUUUCCAGAGAGAGGGAAUAGCAUGGACAAAGACCUGAAGGCAUGAACAACACAGCGUGUUUGUAGUUUAGUUUAUCUAAAGCAAGGUGCAAGGUAGGAGCCGUGGAAUCAGAGCUAUGGAGGACACUGCAAUCUCUCCCUCAUAAGUGAGCACCUCGGAUUUAACUGUCCAGCAUCAUUUGGAGCACAGGGCGGAGGAUUAUACCGAGGAACCACACCCAUGUCAUUUGAAUUGUCCACAAGACCACUAUAAGGACUUUCCAGGACCAUCACAAGGCUGCAAACCGCAUUUGAAGUGCUGCUUCUGGGGCAUUCUUUCCAAAGAGCCUUUUAGCAGGGCAGGGAGUGAAAGCAUUACCAGGUGCUCUGCUGAAACCGGUAGGAUGAACACCUUCCGAACAGGCUGCAUUCCUCCCGAGGAAACUGAAGAGUGUAACCUCACAGUGAAAUUCCCCCCAAGUCUUUGGCUCUGCAGGAAGCUUCUGGCUAUUUUUCAGGAGAUGCGUUUGCUGCAGGAGGAGAGUCUGAAGACUUGGAGGAAUUAUUGCAAAACAGCUCACCUUCCCUCUUCCCUGGGAACACAGGUUGAAGGAAACAUCAAAGUCUUAAAGAGCCAUUACAUUCAGAGCAAGAGUAAUCAAUGGGCAUUUUCAUUCCCUUCCUUUACAGUUGGUACCAGUCUUCAGUUCUCAGCCUGUAGGCCCCUGACAUGGGGCACUACUCUGUACAGUUCCAGAAACCAACAACAGCCAUUUAGCAGGAGUGUUGAAACUGCAGAUUGUUCUCCACUGUUCUUCACUGUGGCUGUGUUUGGAACUACCAAAUACUAAUCCUCAGAACUUGGUCUUGGACCUGGUUAUAAAUCUCAUUCCUGCAACUCUGAACAGUGUGAUCUUGGGAGAGUUACUUAAUUUUUCUGAGUCUCAGUUUUUCUUAUCUAUAAAAUGAAGUUAGUAAUAGUAUGGACUUCAUAUAACGUAUGUGAUGAUUAAAUUACAGAGCACAUGUAAUGUGUGUAGCACAAUGCGUGGUACAUAACUAGGCCUCAACAAAUGGCCCAACAAUGUGUUGUUGGUCUAGGGUGGGAGACAGUAAUCUCCCUUUGACUGUCAUUAUCUUUUGACUGGGAAGAUUGGGUAGGCAACAAUGUUGCCUGUUUGCUGUACUUAGCUCUACUUUACUUUUUAUUUUUUUAUUUUUUUGAGACAGAGUCUCACUCUGUCACCCAGACUGGAGUGCAAUGGCACAAUCUUGGCUCACCACACCCUCCAUCUCCCAGAUUCAAGCAAUUCUCCUGCUUCAGCCUCUCAAGUUGCUGGGAUUACAGGCAUGUGCCACCAUGCCCAGCUAAUUUUUUGUAUUUUUAGUAGAGACAGCGUUUCACCAUGUUAGCCAAGCUGGUCUCAAACUCCUGACUUCAGGUGAUCCACCCACCUCAGCCUCCCAAAGUGCUGGGAUUACAGCUGUGAGCCACCGCACCCAGCCGUCUACUUCAUUCUUGCUUGGUUGUUUGCUUCCUGCUCUCACCAAAUUGUAAAGCUCACUGAGGACAUGAACUAAGAUUCUGUGGCCAACAGGGUCUUUCUAUAUAGUAGAUAGUCAAUAAAUAUUUGUAGAUGGAUGCAUGGAUAUUUUUUCAACUGACUAUUUGAAUAUGACUUCUGAUACAUAUGAGUAUCAGUACCCAGGGAAUACAUGAUCCAAGGCUGGGGAGACAUGGGCUUAAUAUUUACUAACAUUUUCCCUUACCUGCCACCUGCUUCUCUUGAGACAUUAAAUCCAAAGGCUAUAAAUCCUGCUGCUUUGCAUGGCUGGGUUAGAUUGCAUAUGAGAAUUUUGCAAAGCAAAAAAGAUACAUCACACCAACUGGCCUCUCAAUGUAUGCUCCCCUCAAAAGGCUUUCAAGCCAAAAAUCCCUAAGCAGUAAUUAUGUGCAAGGCAAAG